UGAAUCUGUAGAUCUGGCAGGUUAUGCUCAAUUCCUUGCCAGAAUUGAAAGGGUUAAUAACCACUUAUUCUUUCCUAUUCAAAUAAAUGACUUGAGAAGAAGCAGGAAUGCAAAGCUGGACUUAAAGAGUGAGAACAGCUAUAUUAGCAGAAGUCUGUUAAAGCAGAUCGCUAAUCCUAAAAUGAUCAGGUACACUUCCCCACAUGACAGGUGGAUCCAGAACCUGGAUGGCGAAUCAGAG
rnacentral:lncRNA from 1 species